rnacentral:rRNA from 1 species
GAUGAACGCUGGCGGCGUGCUUAACACAUGCAAGUCGAACGGAAAGGCCCAAGCUUGCUUGGGUACUCGAGUGGCGAACGGGUGAGUAACACGUGGGUGAUCUGCCCUGCACUUCGGGAUAAGCCUGGGAAACUGGGUCUAAUACCGGAUAGGACGAUGGUUUGGAUGCCAUUGUGGAAAGUUUUUUCGGUGUGGGAUGAGCUCGCGGCCUAUCAGCUUGUUGGUGGGGUAAUGGCCUACCAAGGCGUCGACGGGUAGCCGGCCUGAGAGGGUGUACGGCCACAUUGGGACUGAGAGACGGCCCAGACUCCUACGGGAGGCAGCAGUGGGGAAUAUUGGACAAUGGGCGCAAGCCUGAUGCAGCGACGCCGCGUGGGGGAUGACGGCCUUCGGGUUGUAAACUCCUUUCGCUAGGGACGAAGCGUUUUUGUGACGGUACCUGGAGAAGAAGCACCGGCUAACUACGUG